GUGCUCACUUCAGCAGCACGUAUACUAAAAUUGGAAUGACACAGAGAAGAUGAGCACGGCCCCUGCACAAGGAUGACACACAGAUUUGGAAGCAUUCCAUGUUAUC
ensembl:snRNA U6 U6 spliceosomal RNA